UUUAUUUUCUGACAUGCUUUCAAACGUUUUCAUUUACUUGGUAUCAAGCUAUAGUCAAUGCUAAAAGUAUUUUAAGUAAUUUUUGAAAUUAGACUUAAAAAACAGCUUCACGAGCUUUUAAAGUGAGUAAACGACAGAUACAAAUUCAGUAAUUACUUAAAAUUGAAAGUUUUAUAAAAUGAAUUCUUUACACAACAUUUUAAUAAAGUUUUAUAACUUCUUAUAAAUCUACGUUAAAAACAUUUUCUUGGGUUUAAAAAUAGUUACAGAAUUUCGUAAAAGCAGAAAAUGUGAAAGUUAAAAGUAUUCUAGUUUUGAAAUUAUUGUUUUCAACACAUACUACCUUACACUACAGUACACUAUAAUACGAAAUACUAAGAAAUAUUAAGUUGAUAAUCAUGCUAUGGGCACAAACGGAACCGUCUUGAAAUUAUUAAUGAAAAGUAUGACAAAAAUAAUAUACUUCCUCGAGGCUGGAAAAAUUAAUAGAAAAAAGAUUAUGGAAUAAUACUGCAAAAUUCGAGCAUAAGUUGUAAUGCUUUUCAUUACGAUAUUAAUUAAAAAUAUCUAGCUGAUGAGGUUAUGUUGGAUUUUGUCGGUGGUUUGAGUGUAUGCGUGAGUAACGGCUUUUCAGGAGUUUCUAGGUGGAUUCAAGAUUUCUGAUUAACUGUCUCGUUGAAUUGAAUGAAAUUUAAAAGGUGAUAGUUAAUUAGAUUUUCUAACUCGCUUAUCAAUUCCGCUCAUACCCUGCUUUAAAUGAAGAGUUGCCUACGAGAGUUAGACCGAUCAACCUUUGAAAUUCCACGAGCAAGGACAACGAACCGUUAAGAAGUCAACUGACCACUUUGUGACGGAAAAAUCUACUGGUUAGAAACGCAAACUUCAAUACCUAUCGCAGUCGAUUAGUAUUAUUCGAGUUCUGUUUAUGCGUUUCCAACUCGAAUUUCCCACGACUGCUGCAACCUAAGGAGGGUAGUCUGGCGCCCGUUAAGAAUACGUGGUGUAAUGCGUGUGCCAAAUACAUUUUUCUUCGAAACUUGAUGAACAAAACAAAUCAAGGAAUAGUCUGCAAAUGAUUUAUAAAAUGUUGCUCUUGUGGUGUUAUUAUUAAAGUGGAUACUGAAAAACAAAGUAAUAAAUAUUAUUAUGACACAAAUCUGAAAUCAACUAUAGGUAUGGUUGAUGCGAGUAUUGGUGAAAUUAAAUUGAAUACCUAUUUAUCAACAUUGAAUGCAACACACAUGAAGCCAAAUCUUUAAAACAACACAAGAGAUCGUGAGAAAAGAAAUAGAAAAUUUAGCAAAAGCAUUUUGUGUGGCAGCCUUAGCAGAAGAAAAAAUAGCGACUCCUGAACAUCAACGCCGAAUGUAUGUUGCCUUCAACAACACAAUAUGUAUCGGAAGGAUUGUAUAGUCAUAAAUAUUACUUGAUUACUGGACAUAAUCAUUUCUAUGAAAAGAUUGGUUCGCUUGUGUACAAUUAACAACGUUAUCAUUUAUACUUAAUAUUUAUAUGUACAUUUCAUGUUAUUGUACAAUAUGUUAUGACAUUUUAUUAAAAUAAUACAUCGAAAAAUCACUAUAUACAACUUGUAAUAGAAUGAAAUUCCACAAUGAAUUUUAUAUAUAAACUUGAUUUUUACAACAUUUAAUUUAUAAUUUAUACUUUAUAGUAUAACUGCAAUAAUUAUACAUGUAUCAAAUCAUAUUAUACAAUCGGAAAA